rnacentral:rRNA from 1 species
UACAGAGGGUGCAAGCGUUAAUCGGAGUUACUGGGCGUAAAGGGCGCGUAGGCGGUUAUUUUAGUUUGAUGUGAAAUCCCUGGGCUUAACCUAGGAACUGCAUUAAAUACUGGAUAACUGGAGUACUGUAGAGGGUAGUGGAAUUUCCGGUGUAGCGGUGAAAUGCGUAGAGAUCGGAAGGAACAUCAGUGGCGAAGGCGGCUACCUGGACAGAUACUGACGCUGAGGCGCGAGAGCGUGGGGAGCAAACAGG